rnacentral:rRNA from 1 species
AGAACGAACGCUGGCGGCAGGCUUAACACAUGCAAGUCGAACGCGUGUAGCAAUACACGAGUGGCGCACGGGUGAGUAACGCGUGGAUAUCUGCCUUUUGGUUCGGAAUAACCCCGGGAAACUGGGGCUAAUACCGGAUGGUUCCUACGGGAUAAAGAUUUAUCGCCAAAAGAUGAGUCCGCGUACGAUUAGCUAGUUGGUGAGGUAAUGGCUCACCAAGGCGACGAUCGUUAGCU